GACGAACGCUGGCGGCGUGCCUAACACAUGCAAGUCGAACGAGAAGUUCAGGCCUAGUGGCGCAGGCGGACGGAACGCGUGGGAACCUGCCUCUGGGUACGGACUCACUGAGAGCAAGCUGAGCUAAGGCCGGUAGAAGUCUUAGACCAAAAGAUUUAUCGCCUUGUGAUGGGGCCGCGUUCGAUUAGCUAGUUGGUGGGGUAAUGGCCCACCAUGGCGACGAUCCCUAGCUGGUCUGAGAGGAUGACCCGCCACACUGGGACUGAGACACGGCCCAGACUCCUACGGGAGGCAGCAGUGGGGAAUAUUGGACAAUGGGGGAAAGCCUGAUGCAGCAACGCCGCGUGAGUGAAGAAGGCUUUAGGGAUGUAAAGCUCUUUUAGCAGAGAAGAUAAUGACGGUACCGGGAGAAGAAGCCCCGGCUAACUACGUG
rnacentral:rRNA from 1 species